CGCCAAGGACGAAAGUCUGACGGAGCAACCCCGCGUGAGUGAUGAAGGCUUUCGGGUCGUAAAACUCUGUUGUUAGGGAAGAACAAGUGCUAGUUGAAUAAGCUGGCACCUUGACGGUACCUAACCAGAAAGCCACGGCUAACUACGUGCCAGCAGCCGCGGUAAUACGUAGGUGGCAAGCGUUAUCCGGAAUUAUUGCGCGUAAAGCCCGCGCAGGUGGUUUCUUAAGUCUGAUGUGAAAGCCCACGGCUCAACCGUGGAGGGUCAUCGGAAACUGGGAGACUUGAGAGCAGAAGAGGAAAGUGGAAUUCCAUGUGUAUCGGUGAAAUGCGUAGAGAUAUGGAGGAACACCAGUGGCGAAGGCGACUUUCUGGUCUGUAACUGACACUGAGGCGCGAAAGCGUGGGGAGCAAACAGGAUUAGAUACCCUGCUAGUCCACGCCGUAAACGAUGAGUGCCAAGUGUUAGAGGGUUUCCGCCCUUUAGUGCUGAAGUUUACGCAUUAAGCACUCCGCCUGGGGAGUACGGCCGCAAGGCUGAAACUCAAAGGAAGUGACGGGGGCCCGCACAAGCGGUGGAGCAUGUGGUUUAAUUCGAAGCACCGCGAAGAAACUUACC
rnacentral:rRNA from 3 species